rfam:Erinaceus europaeus unplaced genomic scaffold scaffold00321, whole genome shotgun sequence
GGUUUGUUCUUCUGGACCCAUCACCAGCUGGGAGAUUAAUCGACUACACUGAAAAUGU